GAUGAACGCUGGCGGCGUGCCUAAUACAUGCAAGUCGAGCGAACAGACGAGGAGCUUGCUCCUCUGACGUUAGCGGCGGACGGGUGAGUAACACGUGGAUAACCUACCUAUAAGACUGGGAUAACUUCGGGAAACCGGAGCUAAUACCGGAUAAUAUAUUGAACCGCAUGGUUCAAUAGUGAAAGACGGUUUUGCUGUCACUUAUAGAUGGAUCCGCGCCGCAUUAGCUAGUUGGUAAGGUAACGGCUUACCAAGGCGACGAUGCGUAGCCGACCUGGGAGGGUGAUCGGCCACACUGGAACGGAGACACGGUCCAGACUCCUACGGGAGGCAGCAGUAGGGAAUCUUCCGCAAUGGGCGAAAGCCUGACGGAGCAACGCCGCGUGAGUGAUGAAGGUCUUCGGAUCGUAAAACUCUGUUAUUAGGGAAGAACAAAUGUGUAAGUAACUAUGCACGUCUUGACGGUACCUAAUCAGAAAGCCACGGCUAACUACGUGCCAGCAGCCGCCGUAACAC
rnacentral:rRNA from 1 species